AUUGAACGCUGGCGGCAGGCCUAACACAUGCAAGUCGAGCGGAUGAAGGGAGCUUGCCCCUAGAUUCAGCGGCGGACGGGUGAGUAAUGCCUAGGAAUCUGCCUGGUAGUGGGGGAUAACGUCCGGAAACGGGCGCUAAUACCGCAUACGUCCUGAGGGAGAAAGUGGGGGAUCUUCGGACCUCACGCUAUCAGAUGAGCCUAGGUCGGAUUAGCUAGUUGGUGGGGUAAAGGCCUACCAAGGCGACGAUCCGUAACUGGUCUGAGAGGAUGAUCAGUCACACUGGAACUGAGACACGGUCCAGACUACUAAGGGAGGCAGCAGUGGGGAAUAUUAGACAAUGGGCGAAAGCCUGAUCCAGCCAUGCCGCGUGUGUGAAGAAGGUCUUCGGAUUGUAAAGCACUUUAAGUUGGGAGGAAGGGCAGUAAGUUAAUACCUUGCUGUUUUGACGUUACCAACAGAAUAAGCACCGGCUAACUUCGUG
rnacentral:rRNA from 1 species